rnacentral:lncRNA from 1 species
AUGGCAAAGAUGAACAAAGCCACCAGAAUCGCCUUGGUCACUGGAGAGAUAAGGGACUGCAUGUCACCCGGGACCGCCGCAGCCGGAGGAGAAGGCAAGGAUCCAGGACAACUCCAGGGGACUCAUGAGAAACAAGGAUAUCCACCACUAGAGAAGGAGCAGAGAGACUCCCAAUGCAGAGUGGAACAUAUCAUUCUUCACUUGAUUUGCUACAUGAAUUUUUCUUUAAUGAAAAAAGAGCCUGGAAAAUGGUGGGGAAAGUAUGAAUGA